rnacentral:rRNA from 1 species
UGGGGAAUUUUGGACAAUGGGCGCAAGCCUGAUCCAGCCAUGCCGCGUGAGUGAAGAAGGCCUUCGGGUUGUAAAGCUCUUUCGGCCGGGAAAAAAUCGCUUGGGUUAAUACCCUGAGUGGAUGAUGGUACCGGAAUAAGAAGCACCGGCUAACUACGUGCCAGCAGCCGCGGUAAUACGUAGGGUGCGAGCGUUAAUCGGAAUUACUGGGCGUAAAGCGUGCGCAGGCGGUUUUGUAAGACAGGCGUGAAAUCCCCGGGCUCAACCUGGGAACUGCGUUUGUGACUGCAAGGCUAGAGUAUGGCAGAGGGGGGUGGAAUUCCACGUGUAGCAGUGAAAUGCGUGGAGAUGUGGAGGAACACCAAUGGCGAAGGCAGCCCCCUGGGCCAAUACUGACGCUCAUGCACGAAAGCGUGGGGAGCAAACAGG